UACGGAGGAUGCGAGCGUUAUCCGGAUUUAUUGGGUUUAAAGGGUGCGUAGGCGGACGCUUAAGUCAGCGGUAAUAUUGCGGGGCUCAACCUCGUCGAGCCGUUGAAACUGGGUGUCUUGAGUGGGCGAGAAGUACGCGGAAUGCGUGGUGUAGCGGUGAAAUGCAUAGAUAUCACGCAGAACUCCGAUUGCGAAGGCAGCGUACCGGCGCCCAACUGACGCUGAAGCACGAAGGCGUGGGUAUCGAACAGG
rnacentral:rRNA from 1 species